rnacentral:rRNA from 1 species
GACGUAGGGCGCGAGCGUUGUCCGGAUUUAUUGGGCGUAAAGAGCUCGUAGGCGGCUUGUCGCGUCGGCUGUGAAAUCCCGGGGCUCAACCCCGGGCCUGCAUCCGAUACUCCCGGGCUGGAGGCAGGUAGGGGAGAGUCGGAAUUCCUGGUGUAGCGGUGAAAUGCGCAGAUAUCAGGAGGAACACCGGUGGCGAAGGCGGAUCUCUGGGCCUUGCCUGACGCUGAGGCGCGAAAAGCUAGGGGGAGCGAACAGG